UACGAAGGGGGCUAGCGUUGCUCGGAAUCACUGGGCGUAAAGGGUGCGUAGGCGGGUCUUAAGUCAGGGGUGAAAUCCUGGAGCUCAACUCCAGUAACUGCCUUUGAUACUGAAGAUCUUGAGUUCGGGAGAGGUGAGUGGAACUGCGAGUGUAGAGGUGAAAUUCGUAGAUAUUCGCAAGAACACCAGUGGCGAAGGCGGCUCACUGGCCCGAUACUGACGCUGAGGCACGAAAGCGUGGGG
rnacentral:rRNA from 1 species